rnacentral:rRNA from 1 species
GACGAACGCUGGCGGCGUGCUUAACACAUGCAAGUCGAACGGAAAGGCCUGCUUUCCCUUGUGGAUUGCGGGUACUCGAGUGGCGAACGGGUGAGUAACACGUGAGUGAUCUGCCCCCAACUUGGGUAUAAGCCUGGGAAACUGGGUCUAAUUCCCGAUAGGACUGCAGGGUGGUGCCUGUGGUGGAAAACGAUUUUCUAGUGGUUGGGGAUGAGCUCGCGGCCUAUCAGCUUGUUGGUGGGGUAAUGGCCUACCAAGGCGGCGACGGGUAGCCGGCCUGAGAGGGUGGACGGCGACAUUGGGACUGGGAUACGGCCCAGACUCCUACGGGAGGCAGCAGUGGGGAAUAUUGGACAAUGGGCGGAAGGCUGAUGCAGCGACGCCGCGUGGGGGAUGACGGCCUUCGGGUUGUAAACUCCUUUCGACCGCGAGGAAGCCACCUGGUUGGAAGGGUGGUGACGGUAGUGGUAGAAGAAGCACCGGCUAACUACGUG